UAGUCGCUGGUAAAACUCGAAAGGGUUUGCGAGAGGAAAGUCCGGGCUCCAUAGAGCAAUGAUGCUAGAUAACGUCUAGUGAGGGUGACCUUAAGGAAAGUGCAACAGAAAAUAACCGCCACUGUUUCAGUGGUAAGGAUGAAAAGGCGAGGUAAGAGCUCACCGCUUGCAUGGUGACAUGCAAGGUCAGUGUAAACCCCAUCUGGAGCAACACCUAAGUAGACUUAACGCCUGCUCGGCGGUCUGAAAUGCGUGGCUUGAGAUAUAUAGUAAUAUAUAUCCUAGAUAAAUGACUAAUUUUAAUGACAGAACCCGGCUUACAGGUUUACUCUU
rnacentral:RNase_P_RNA from 1 species